rnacentral:misc_RNA from 1 species
GGAGUAAAAGUCGUAACAAGGUUUCCGUAGGUGAACCUGCGGAAAGAUCAUUACUGAGUGAGGGCCCCUCGGGGUCCAACCUCCCACCCGUGUUUAACGAACCUUGUUGCUUCGGCGGGCCCGCCUCACGGCCGCCGGGGGGCAUCUGCCCCCGGGCCCGCGCCCGCCGAAGCCACCUGUGAACGCUGUCUGAAGUAUGCAGUCUGAGACAAUUAUUAAAUUAAUUAAAACUUUCAACAACGGAUCUCUUGGUUCCG